AGCGGAGAGAGGUAGCUUGCUACUGAUCUUAGCGGCGGACGGGUGAGUAAUGCUUAGGAAUCUGCCUAUUAGUGGGGGACAACAUCUCGAAAGGGAUGCUAAUACCGCAUACGUCCUACGGGAGAAAGCAGGGGAUCUUCGGACCUUGCGCUAAUAGAUGAGCCUAAGUCGGAUUAGCUAGUUGGUGGGGUAAAGGCCUACCAAGGCGACGAUCUGUAGCGGGUCUGAGAGGAUGAUCCGCCACACUGGGACUGAGACACGGCCCAGACUCCUACGGGAGGCAGCAGUGGGGAAUAUUGGACAAUGGGGGGAACCCUGAUCCAGCCAUGCCGCGUGUGUGAAGAAGGCCUUAUGGUUGUAAAGCACUUUAAGCGAGGAGGAGGCUACUUUAGUUAAUACCUAGAGAUAGUGGACGUUACUCGCAGAAUAAGCACCGGCUAACUCUGUGCCAGCAGCCGCGGUAAUACAGAGGGUGCAAGCGUUAAUCGGAUUUACUGGGCGUAAAGCGCGCGUAGGCGGCUAAUUAAGUCAAAUGUGAAAUCCCCGAGCUUAACUUGGGAAUUGCAUUCGAUACUGGUUAGCUAGAGUGUGGGAGAGGAUGGUAGAAUUCCAGGUGUAGCGGUGAAAUGCGUAGAGAUCUGGAGGAAUACCGAUGGCGAAGGCAGCCAUCUGGCCUAACACU
rnacentral:rRNA from 1 species